GUGUUCGCGUGCGCCGACUCCCGUGUGUGCCCCUCGGUCACCCUGGGCCUGGAGCCCGGCGAGGCCUUCACCAUCCGCAACAUCGCCAACAUGGUCCCCUCCUACUGCAAGGUCCCGCCCCGUUUCUCUCUUCCUCUUUUUUUCUUUCUCAUCGCCGAGCUGCAUUUUUGACGAUAUUUCUUUGUCAACUACAGAACAAGUACGCCGGUGUUGGAUCGGCCAUCGAAUACGCCGUCUGUGCUCUCAAGGUCAACUCCCUCCCCCUCUCUCUCUUUCUUUCUCUGGUGCUGUCGCUUCUAAAAUAGGAGUGCCAUAAUGCAUUAUUGCCCUAGUGGACUUUGCUGUCACCCAACUACUAGUAUAAGAACAAGUGAACAUGGGCACUGUCUGUAUUUUAGAGCGUGGCCUGAUAUGGACUUUACUUUCGGCUGCAGGUUGAGGUCAUCGUGGUGAUUGGCCACAGCCGCUGCGGUGGAAUCAAGGCUCUGCUCUCACUCAAGGAUGGCGCAGACGACUCCUUGUAAGUACCACUAGAGUAAAACGGCUCACAUCUUACUCCAGCUAACGCUGCUACCGUCUCUCCGAUCAGUUUCUGACUGUCUAUUUGGUUGGUCUUGGUCAGCCACUUCGUCGAGGACUGGGUCAGGAUCGGCUUCCCGGCCAAGAAGAAGGUGCAGACUGAGUGCGCCUCCAUGCCUUUCGAUGACCAGUGCACCGUCCUCGAAAAGGUUCGCACCAUUGCCCAUCUGCCAUCUCAUACUUUGCUCAUAUAUUACUCCUAUUGGCAGUACUGUAGACUUCGCAAUUCUGCAUGUGGUUUGUCUAACUGAUGAUUGGUACGCUGACCAAGGGAUAUUUCUGAAUUGUUUCCACAGGAGGCAGUGAACGUGUCCCUCCAGAACCUCCUGACCUACCCGUUCGUCAAGGAGGGUGUGUCCAACGGAACCCUCAAGCUGGUCGGCGGUCACUACGACUUCGUCUCCGGCAAGUUCGAGACAUGGGAGCAGUGAAUCUUCCCCAGCGGUUAACUCCUAUAUAUACAUGCGAAUGCAAACGCGUACAUAUAUCAAGAUAUCGUCCGACCGACCGAUGUGAAUCCAAUGCCAUGGAGUGCGUACUCGUUGUUUUCCAGUACUGGAUGCCGGGAUGGCCCGAUGUGAAUUCGCCAUAAGCAAUAGAACCCUUUUUCUUUUACCAUUUUCUGACGAGGAAUUGUACUACCCGUGUGAUGCAUAAUUUGAUCGUCCUGUGAUCAAAAGACAUCAUAUAUAAGUUUAAUAAUAUUUUCAUGAACAGUUUACCCCUUUUAUUACCCUUUGUCCUUGUGGUUUUCCGUCUUGUGUCUGGCACUGCUUAGCUGUUUGCCCAACCCAAGAAACAGUUUGUACUACUGUAUAUCU
rnacentral:lncRNA from 1 species